GACGAACGCUGGCGGCGUGCCUAAUACAUGCAAGUAGAACGCUGAAGGAGGAGCUUGCUCUUCUGGAUGAGUUGCGAACGGGUGAGUAACGCGUAGGUAACCUGCCUGGUAGCGGGGGAUAACUAUUGGAAACGAUAGCUAAUACCGCAUAACAGUAGAUGUUGCAUGACAUUUGCUUAAAAGGUGCAAUUGCAUCACUACCAGAUGGACCUGCGUUGUAUUAGCUAGUUGGUGGGGUAACGGCUCACCAAGGCGACGAUACAUAGCCGACCUGAGAGGGUGAUCGGCCACACUGGGACUGAGACACGGCCCAGACUCCUACGGGAGGCAGCAGUAGGGAAUCUUCGGCAAUGGACGGAAGUCUGACCGAGCAACGCCGCGUGAGUGAAGAAGGUUGUCGGAUCGUAAAGCUCUGUUGUAAGAGAAGAACGAGUGUGAGAGUGGAAAGUUCACACUGUGACGGUAUCUUAACAGAAAGGGACGGCUAACUACGUG
rnacentral:rRNA from 1 species